rnacentral:rRNA from 1 species
UACGUAGGGUGCGAGCGUUUGUCCGGAAUUAUUGGGCGUAAAGAGCUCGUAGGCGGUGUGUCGCGUCGGUCGUGAAAACUUGGGGCUUAACUCUGAGCUUGCGGUCGAUACGGGCAGACUAGAGUGGCGGUAGGGAGACUGGAAUUCCUGGUGAUAGCGGUGAAAUGCGCAGAUAUCAGGAGGAACACCGGUGGCGAAGGCGGGUCUCUGGGC